UAUGAAUCUUAAUCCAACAUCGAGGUCGCAAACUUUUUUAUCGAUAAGAACUCUCCAAAAAAAUUACUCUGUUAUCCCUAAAGUAACUUAAUUUUUUAAGAAAUUA